rnacentral:sRNA from 2 species
AUAUCUCUCCGUACGGGAAGGAUGAGAAGCUUCGACUAAGGUUCGAUUCGAGCGCAGCGAGAAAGCGUUGCCGCAGG